UACGUAGGGUGCAAGCGUUAAUCGGAAUUACUGGGCGUAAAGGGCCAGUAGGCGGCCAUCUAAGUCCGACGUGAAAUCCCAAGGCUUAACCUUGGAACUGCGUCGGAUACUGGAUGGCUUGAAUUCGGGAGAGGGAUGCAGAAUUCCAGGUGUAGCGGUGAAAUGCGUAGAUCUCUGGAGGAAUACCGGUGGCGAAGGCGGCAUCCUGGACCGACAUUGACGCUGAACGGCGAAAGCUAGGGGAGCAAACGGG
rnacentral:rRNA from 1 species